AGAGUUUGAUUAUGGCUCAGAUUGAACGCUGGCGGUAUGCUUAACACAUGCAAGUCGAACGGUAACAGGCAGAGCUUGCUCUGUGCUGACGAGUGGCGGACGGGUGAGUAACGCGUGGGAAUCUACCCAGAAGUUCGGGACAACCUGUUGAAAAGCAGGCUAAUACCGAAUGUUGUCUACGGACUAAAGGAGGGGAUCUUCGGACCUUUCGCUUUUGGAUGAGCCCGCGUUAGAUUAGCUAGUUGGUGGGGUAAAGGCCUACCAAGGCGACGAUCUAUAGCUGGUCUGAGAGGACGAUCAGCCACACUGGGACUGAGACACGGCCCAGACUCCUACGGGAGGCAGCAGUGGGGAAUAUUGGACAAUGGGGGCAACCCUGAUCCAGCAAUACCGCGUGUGUGAAGAAGGCCCGAGGGUUGUAAAGCACUUUCAAUUGUGAAGAAAAGUUGUGGUUUAAUACGCCAUGACCUUGACGUUAACUUUAGAAGAAGCACCGGCUAACUCCGUGCCAGCAGCCGCGGUAAUACGGAGGGUGCGAGCGUUAAUCGGAAUUACUGGGCGUAAAGCGUGCGUAGGCGGUUAUUUAAGUCAGAUGUGAAAGCCCCGGGCUCAACCUGGGAACUGCAUUUGAAACUGGAUGACUCGAGUUUGGUAGAGGUGAGUAGAAUUCCUAGUGUAGCGGUGAAAUGCGUAGAUAUUAGGAGGAAUACCAGUGGCGAAGGCGGCUCACUGGACCAAAACUGACGCUGAGGCACGAAAGCGUGGGGAGCGAACGGGAUUAGAUACCCCGGUAGUCCACGCCGUAAACGAUGUCAACUAGUCGUUGGGCCUUUCGGGGCUUAGUGACGCAGCUAACGCGUGAAGUUGACCGCCUGGGGAGUACGGCCGCAAGGCUAAAACUCAAAUGAAUUGACGG
rnacentral:rRNA from 1 species